CUGAGCCACGCGGCCCCUGGUAAACCGGUAACAUCUAGCCAGCCAGGGUCCAGGCACACGCAGGCCCCAUGGAGUACGUGGAGAUGGGUGAAUUGAGGCGGGCGAAUAUGAAAACAGACAAGAUCUCCAAACACUGCGUGAUCUGAACACAGAUCAGUCCAGUGGGGCAAACCGCCCAAACCUCUGCUUGGCCAUCUUUCCUGAUUCCGAGAAUCCUCCCCUGUGAAGGCAGCCAGGCCAAGUUACCAGCCAUCGCUGCCGGGGCUGGAAGUAGAGGCAAUGAAGAUGGCCAUGCAAACCGGAGCUCUGCGGCCCGGCGACAGCAGAGCAGCACCAAGAGAGAGCUUCCGGGGUAUUUCUUAAUUGGGCGCGCAGAAGCCAAAGUCUACUAAUGGCCGUUUAAAUACCAGCACCAUUAGCUGUGUCGCUGCAGAACUACCUACCAGAUGUGUAACAACCAUAUUUACUGGUCUUUCUGCAGCUGGUUGUACCUUCUCUGGGCUUAUGCCCCAUUCGUUCAAAUGACUGUUUCCCCAUCUGCUUCGAGGAGAGCGCCUCCAUACAGCCCCAGGACACGGUGUCCAGUGUGCUCCCAGAGGAGGCCCCGUACAAGACCCGGAGGGGAACAGUGUAGAGGUCAAAUGACUGCUACCAUCUGAUUUUUAUUAAAAACAACAUUUAAACAGAACAACCAUUCUAUUGCCACCAGGGUAUUCUAUUUUUCUGCUGGGAGAACAAAAGCUCUGUGAAUGUUUUAUUCAGCAGUAACUAGAACACUGUUAUUAUAAACUUUCUUUCCCAAACGAAUUCCCUGAGCUUAUGCUGCCAGAAUUCCUCCUCUCCAGGGCAGUUCUGCCUUCACUCAUUGACUUCUGAGAUCCUUCUAGAAAAUCUGCCACCCGGACUCCAGCAAGCAGCAGAUGGUCUCAGGGGGGGCUGUGGAACUCAUUGUGGUGCAGCCCCGCCCAGGAUGGCUCUGAGAAAAGUGACAAGCUAUGUUUUCAUUGGAAAGCAACACCAUGCUAUGGUCCUUACCAUGAUUCUCUUCAGGAGCAGAUCAGAGCCUGGUGAAAGGCCCUCGGGGUGGGGGAGGGGUGUCCCUAUCUUCACUGUCACCUCAGGAGUUCUGGGUAAAGCGUCACCUCCAAAAGUCAGCCUGUCAGUCAAGGACCCUCUAAGUCAGUGGAGGGAAAUAUCAUCCAAGGGGAGAAUGUGAAACAGGGUAUACCCCAAGUUCUAGAACUUUCUAGAUGGUUCCACCAAUAGAAAUAGGAGCCUCUCCUAGGACACUACUGGAUCCCUAGGAUGGAUUUACCUUUGAUGUUGGUACCAUUCCAAUAUCUCUGAUGGAGUCUGACAGAGGAACUAUACAGUUGCAAAAGCCAGCUUCCCUUUGAAAGUUCAUUCAGAUUGACCACUGUCAGAGGAGAAACUCUCCCAUUAUGGCAGCAUCAGGCAAAGCGACCACUGGGAGUGAGCAUUAAAAAGAAAACAGUGAUGAAUGACCAGGAGAUGAAGGACAAGCUAAAAAAAAAAAAAAAAAGCAGUGACCAGAGACAAAAUGGGAACAGCAGGAAUGGUGAAAAGCAGUGGUCACCGAAUAAGGUUGCUGUGCCACAGUCUAUUAGCUCGGUAUCAAUUCCAACUUGUAUCAUCUUCUCUGUAUCCCAGCAAAGGAAGACUGAAACCACAUCUCCCAGUCUCCGGUAUGGCUACAUUUCUGGGUCCGUGCAGGUUCAGUGAACAAGAUCCACUUACAGAAGCUUUGGAAGGUGGAAGGCUUUGCAAGUGUGCCAGUGGUUAAGUGGGUACCAGCAGAGGUGAGGGUUGGCAGCAAAGGGGCUCCGCGUGCCGAUGGCUGGUACCACUUUGGAGGGUAUAAGGAUGACACCAGACGUAGUAGCAGUUGGCAAAAAGUGUGACCUCAAAGCCGAAUGUUAAAUGGCAGCCUCUAGUUCUCCUGCCUCCAGCCUUUCCGGGGAUUUGUAAGCACUUGCUUCUCUAUGUUAAAUCCUUCUGGCAAUACCUAGAGUGGUGAGGCAGACUGGGUGAGUGUUCACCAACCCAUUUUCUUUUCUCCUGUGCACCCAACUGACCUGUAUGUCUCCAAGCCUUCCUUAAGAAUUAGGUGUGACCCAGGGCGCCUAGGUGGCUCAGUCGGUUAAGCGUCCGACUUCGGCUCAGGUCGUGAUCUCGCAGUUUGUGAGUUCAAGCCC